GCCCCUUAUCGCCCUUUUGGCUAAGAUCAAGUGUAGUAUCUGUUCUUAUCUGUUUAAUAUCUGAUACGUCCUUAUCUGGCGACCAUAUAUUAAAUUGAUUUUUGAAGUCGGGAGAUGGAAUAGGUGCUUGCUCCUUCCACUCCACGCAUUGACCUGGUCUUGCAGUACAUCCAGGAACCUGGUCUUGCAGUACAU